rnacentral:rRNA from 1 species
AGUCGAGGGGUAUAGUUCUUCGGAGCUAGAGACCGGCGCACGGGUGCGUAACGCGUAUGCAAUCUGCCUUUCACAGAGGGAUAGCCCAGAGAAAUUUGGAUUAAUACCUCAUAGUAUUAUGGAAGGGCAUCCUUUUAUAAUUAAAGUCACAACGGUGAAAGAUGAGCAUGCGUCCCAUUAGCUAGUUGGUAAGGUAACGGCUUACCAAGGCAACGAUGGGUAGGGGUCCUGAGAGGGAGAUCCCCCACACUGGUACUGAGACACGGACCAGACUCCUACGGGAGGCAGCAGUGAGGAAUAUUGGUCAAUGGGCGCAAGCCUGAACCAGCCAUGCCGCGUGCAGGAUGACGGUCCUAUGGAUUGUAAACUGCUUUUGUACGAGAAGAAACACUGAUUCGUGAAUCAGCUUGACGGUAUCGUAAGAAUAAGGAUCGGCUAACUCCGUGCCAGCAGCCGCGGUAAUACGGAGGAUCCAAGCGUUAUCCGGAAUCAUUGGGUUUAAAGGGUCCGUAGGCGGUUUAGUAAGUCAGUGGUGAAAGCCCAUCGCUCAACGGUGGAACGGCCAUUGAUACUGCUGAACUUGAAUUAUUAGGAAGUAACUAGAAUAUGUAGUGUAGCGGUGAAAUGCUUAGAUAUUACAUGGAAUACCAAUUGCGAAGGCAGGUUACUACUAAUGGAUUGACGCUGAUGGACGAAAGCGUGGGGAGCGAACAGGAUUAGAUACCCUGGUAGUCCACGCCGUANACGAUGGAUACUAGCUGUUGGAAAGCAUUUCAGUGGCUAAGCGAAAGUGAUAAGUAUCCCACCU